rnacentral:rRNA from 1 species
GAUGAACGCUGGCGGCGUGCCUAAUACAUGCAAGUCGAGCGAACGGACGAGAAGCUUGCUUCUCUGAUGUUAGCGGCGGACGGGUGAGUAACACGUGGAUAACCUACCUAUAAGACUGGGAUAACUUCGGGAAACCGGAGCUAAUACCGGAUAAUAUUUUGAACCGCAUGGUUCAAAAGUGAAAGACGGUCUUGCUGUCACUUAUAGAUGGAUCCGCGCUGCAUUAGCUAGUUGGUAAGGUAACGGCUUACCAAGGCAACGAUGCAUAGCCGACCUGAGAGGGUGAUCGGCCACACUGGAACUGAGACACGGUCCAGACUCCUACGGGAGGCAGCAGUAGGGAAUCUUCCGCAAUGGGCGAAAGCCUGACGGAGCAACGCCGCGUGAGUGAUGAAGGUCUUCGGAUCGUAAAACUCUGUUAUUAGGGAAGAACAUAUGUGUAAGUAACUGUGCACAUCUUGACGGUACCUAAUCAGAAAGCCACGGCUAACUACGUGCCAGCAGCCGCGGUAAUACGUAGGUGGCAAGCGUUAUCCGGAAUUAUUGGGCGUAAAGCGCGCGUAGGCGGUUUUUUAAGUCUGAUGUGAAAGCCCACGGCUCAACCGUGGAGGGUCAUUGGAAACUGGAAAACUUGAGUGCAGAAGAGGAAAGUGGAAUUCCAUGUGUAGCGGUGAAAUGCGCAGAGAUAUGGAGGAACACCAGUGGCGAAGGCGACUUUCUGGUCUGUAACUGACGCUGAUGUGCGAAAGCGUGGGGAUCAAACAGGAUUAGAUACCCUGGUAGUCCACGCCGUAAACGAUGAGUGCUAAGUGUUAGGGGGUUUCCGCCCCUUAGUGCCGCAGCUAACGCAUUAAGCACUCCGCCUGGGGAGUACGACCGCAAGGUUGAAACUCAAAGGAAUUGACGGGGACCCGCACAAGCGGUGGAGCAUGUGGUUUAAUUCGAAGCAACGCGAAGAACCUUACCAAAUCUUGACAUCCUUUGACAACUCUAGAGAUAGAGCUUUCCCCUUCGGGGGACAAAGUGACAGGUGGUGCAUGGUUGUCGUCAGCUCGUGUCGUGAGAUGUUGGGUUAAGUCCCGCAACGAGCGCAACCCUUAAGCUUAGUUGCCAUCAUUAAGUUGGGCACUCUAAGUUGACUGCCGGUGACAAACCGGAGGAAGGUGGGGAUGACGUCAAAUCAUCAUGCCCCUUAUGAUUUGGGCUACACACGUGCUACAAUGGACAAUACAAAGGGCAGCGAAACCGUGAGGUCAAGCAAAUCCCAUAAAGUUGUUCUCAGUUCGGAUUGUAGUCUGCAACUCGACUACAUGAAGCUGGAAUCGCUAGUAAUCGUAGAUCAGCAUGCUACGGUGAAUACGUUCCCGGGUCU